GACAGAGGAUGCAAGCGUUAUCCGGAAUGAUUGGGCGUAAAGCGUCUGUAGGUGGCUUUUUUAAAGUCCGCCGUCAAAUCCCAGGGCUCAACCCUGGACAGGCGGUGGAAACUACCAAAGCUGGAGUACGGUAGGGGCAGGAGGGAAUUUCCGGUGGAGCGGUGAAAUGCGUAGAGAUCGGAAAGAACACCAACGGCGAAAGCACUCUGCUGGGCCGACACUGACACUGAGAGACGAAAGCUAGGGGAGCGAAUGGGAUUAGAA
rnacentral:rRNA from 1 species